UACAGAGGGGGCGAGCGUUGUCCGGAAUUACUGGGCGUAAAGGGCGCGUAGGCGGCCAACUAAGUCAGACGUGAAAUCCCUCGGCUCAACCGGGGAACUGCGUCUGAUACUGGAUGGCUUGAAUUCGGGAGAGGGAUGCGGAAUUCCAGGUGUAGCGGUGAAAUGCGUAGAUAUCUGGAGGAACACCGGUGGCGAAGGCGGCAUCCUGGACCGAGAUUGACGCUGAUGCGCGAAAGCCAGGGGAGCAAACGGG
rnacentral:rRNA from 1 species